UGGAACUACAAGCCAUUGAAUGAAUUA
rnacentral:piRNA from 1 species